rnacentral:rRNA from 1 species
GACGGAGGGUGCUAGCGUUGUUCGGAAUUACUGGGCGUAAAGGGUGUGUAGGUGGCGCGCUAAGUCGGGUGUGAAAUUUCGGAGCUUAACUCCGAAACUGCAUUCGAUACUGGCGUGCUUGAGGACUGGAGAGGAGACUGGAAUUUACGGUGUAGCAGUGAAAUGCGUAGAUAUCGUAAGGAAGACCAGUGGCGAAGGCGGGUCUCUGGACAGUUACUGACGCUGAGACACGAAGGCCAGGGGAGCAAACGGG